UACGUAGGGUGCGAGCGUUAAUCGGAAUUACUGGGCGUAAAGCGUGCGCAGGCGGUUAUAUAAGACAGUUGUGAGAUCCCCGGGCUCAACCUGGGAAUUGCAUCUGUGGCUGUAUAGCUAGAGUACGGUAGAGGGGGAUGGAAUUCCGCGUGUAGCAGUGAAAUGCGUAGAUAUGCGGAGGAACACCGAUGGCGAAGGCAAUCCCCUGGACCUGUACUGACGCUCAUGCACGAAAGCGUGGGGAGCAAACAGG
rnacentral:rRNA from 1 species